AUUGAACGCUGGCGGCAGGCCUAACACAUGCAAGUCGAGCGAGCGGCGGACGUGUGAGUAAUGUCUGGGAAACUGCCUGAUGGACGGGGAUAUCUACUGGAAACGGUAGCUAAUACCGCAUACCCUCAGAUGUGCCCAGAUGCGAUUAGCUAGUAGGUGGGGUAAUGGCUUACCUAGGCGACGUUCCCUAGCUGGUCUGAGAGGAUGACCAGCCACACUGCAACUGAGACACGGUCCAGACUCCUACGGGAGGCAGCAGUAGGGAAUAUUGCACAAUGGGCGCAAUCCUGAUGCAGCCAUGCCGCGUGUAUGAAGGAGGCCUUCGGGUUGUAAAGUACUUUCAGCGGGGAGGCGUUACAAGCAGAAGAAGCACCGGCUAACUCCGUGCCAGCAGCCGCAGUAAUAC
rnacentral:rRNA from 1 species